GGAGAGUUUGAUCCUGGCUCAGGAUGAACGCUGGCGGUAUGCUUAACACAUGCAAGUCGAACGGGGUGCUUAGGCAUCUAGUGGCGGACGGGUGAGUAACACGUGGGAAUCUGCCCUUUGCUUCGGAAUAACAGUUAGAAAUGACUGCUAAUACCGGAUGAUGUCGUAAGACCAAAGAUUUAUCGGCAAAGGAUGAGCCCGCGUAGGAUUAGCUAGUUGGUGGGGUAAAGGCUCACCAAGGCGACGAUCCUUAGC
rnacentral:rRNA from 1 species